UUUUUAAGUACAAGAUGCCCAACUCUAGCUUUUCCCAUACUAUUGAUUGGCGAACAGAACCAUCCAACAAGAGCGCCUACUUGCGGCGAGAAGUCGAACUAUUUCAACAAGGAAAAUCGAAGUAGCAUUGGUUUUUCACUUCAUCGUAAACGUCAUUCGAGAAAGUGGCGGUUCGUUGAUUGUUGCAGUCCAUAUCUACCAAUCUCGAAACCUCACCAUUCAAUAGAACAAAAUUCGUAUCGGAAUGUGAUCGAACCCAAACUGUACUGAUCCGCGAAUGGACGCCCUUGAAAUUGACCGGCCGGAGAGAAAUAGCAACACAACUGGAACAGGAUGACACAUCGACAAAUAGAAAGGACGGAAGCGCAUUGAAAUGGUAUUUAGUCACGAAUUGGUGAAGCAGCCAGUUCUUUCCAACUCUGACGAGCUGAAUUCGACUUGAAACUCGACCACUGAGGAGGAGACCCAACGCAGCAGGAAAAGGCGAUGCCAAUGUUUCCGUUUACAAUUCGGAUCAUGCUGCCAACUAAAAUCAGUACCUACACUAAAAUCAAAUGAGUACACCCUCUCUUGACUAGGCUUUCCCUCAGAAGAGCAAUAAACAACACGACCGAAGGAAUAAGAGAUCGACAACCCACCGGAUCAUGAAGAUGUGCUGUGCGUUCUCGACUAGGCCUCACAUUGCUUCAAUAAUCAUUAUGUAAAUGUAUUUUGGUUUGCGCGAAAUAAAAUGCAGAACGGAA